CGAGACUUUUAAGUCGAGUGUUCCUGUGGGGCCAAAAGGAUGGUUUCAGAGAAAUCCCAGGAAGUGAGAGUGCUGGGAUAUGCGAGGGGCCCACGGAGCCCUCCCCUGCGUGUCUGAGAUCACACCCUGCGGGUACCCUGCCGUCGUGUGCUGAAGGAGGUGACUGGAUCUCGACUCCAGAGUUUGCUCCUGAGAUCGAAAAACAAAACAACCCAAUAAUAGCAAUGGAUAUUUAUUAUGUCCUAGGGCUAUAAGAACAUAAGAAAAAGACCCCUGAAACUAGGAAAGAAAGCUUCAAAGAGAUGGUCAUUUAGACAUUUUUAAAGAAUGAGAGGAAUUGUUGGAGAAGAUUGGCAUGGGAGAAGAGAAUUGAAGCAGAGGGAACAGCAUGUACAAAGGUCUUGAUUUAAGUUCCUGAACUCUGCCCACCACCACCAGCAGCCAUGACUUCUUGGCAAGACUCCAAACCCCUCCCUACCUUCACUCUUUAGGGAGAAAGGCUAGACUUACAGGGUGACCAAUAAUGCUGGUUUAUCCAAGAAGGGGAUUCCCAAGACACAGGGCUGUCAGUGCUAAACCAGGGUGUUCCUGUCCAACUUGGCUUCCAUAAGAACUUCAAUCAAAUUCACAGACCACAUUCAAAUUUGUCAAUUGUCCUAAUAAUAGCUA
rnacentral:lncRNA from 1 species